ACUGAGCCAUCUCCCAGCCCCAGCAGUUAUUUGAGAUUUCAGAACUGAUUCCUGUUGUUGGAAAUGCCUCACAGAGUAGUUUGGUAGUUUGCUUUACUCACAAAACUGUGAGAAAGAACUACAAGACAUCU
rnacentral:snoRNA from 1 species